rnacentral:rRNA from 1 species
UACAGAGGGUGCGAGCGUUGUUCGGAAUUAUUGGGCGUAAAGGGCGCGUAGGCGGUGCGGUAAGUCACCUGUGAAAUCUCCUGGCUCAACUGGGAGCUUGCAGGCGAAACUGCCGUGCUGGAGUGUGGGAGAGGUGCGUGGAAUUCCUGGUGUAGCGGUGAAAUGCGUAGAUAUCAGGAGGAACACCGGUGGCGAAGGCGGGUCUCUGGGCCGAUACUGACACUGAGGAGCGAAAGCGUGGGGAGCGAACAGG